AGAGAGAGACAUGCGCGCAUAUCAAUAAGCGGAGGAAAAGAAACUAACAAGGAUUCCCUUAGUAACGGCGAGUGAAGCGGGAAGAGCUCAAAUUUGAAAUCUUCAAGGUUCUACCUUGACGAAUUGUAGUUUAUAGAAGUGUUUUCUGUUAGUGGAGUGGCAAAAGUUCUUUGGAAUAGGACAUCAUAGAGGGUGAGAAUCCCGUAUUUGGUCAUUCCUCCUAGCGUUGUGAUACACUUUCAAAGAGUCGGAUUGUUUGGGAAUGCAGUCCAAAAUGGGUGGUAAAUUUCAUCUAAAGCUAAAUAUUGGCGAGAGACCGAUAGCGAACAAGUACCGUGAGGGAAAGAUGAAAAGAACUUUGAAAAGAGAGUUAAACAGUACGUGAAAUUGUCAAAAGGGAAGCGUUUGACACCAGUGUUGUUUUUCCGAAAAUCAAUUACAAAUGUUUUAGUUUUUGAGGAGUUAUGACUUCAUCGGCUUGCUUCUUUCUUUACGAAACUUUCUUAAUGCACUUUUCGGUUAACAAGUCAACAUCAAUUUCUUUUGUUGUAAAAGGGUAUGAGGAAGGUGGCUUUCUUUUCGGAGAAAGUGUUUAUAGCCUUGUGCCUCUGCAAUCGGAGAGAUUGAGGUCUGCAGCGUAGAUCCUUCGGGGUUAGAUACAGUUUGUGCUAAGUUAUAGCUUUUCAUAGACAACUUGUUGACUAUGUUUAGUCUUGUAGCUUACUCGCUGAUGCUAUUUUACCUACGCUUAGGAUGUUGAUAGUCACAGCGUGUAC
rnacentral:rRNA from 1 species